rnacentral:misc_RNA from 1 species
GAUGAAGAACGUAGCGAAAUGCGAUAAGUAAUGCGAAUUGCAGAAUUCAGUGAGUCAUCGAAUCUUUGAACGCACAUUGCGCCCGCCAGUAUUCUGGCGGGCAUGCCUGUUCGAGCGUCAUUUCAACCCUCAAGCCCCAGCGGCCUGGUGUUGGGGACCGGCGACCUCGCCCGAGCCCGCCCUCCGGGGCGCGUGCCCGGUGCGUCCGCCGCCCCCGAAAUGAAUUGGCGGCCUCGUCGCGGCCUCCUCUGCGUAGUAGCACAACCUCGCAAGCGGGAGCGCGACGCGGCCACUGCCGUAAAACGCCCAACUUUUUUAGAGUUGACCUCGGAUCAGGUAGGAAUACCCGCUGAACUUAAGCAUAUCAAUAAGCGGAGGA